AUCCAGCUGACGAAUCCCAAAUAGGACGAACCGUUCAUACUUGGAU
rnacentral:hammerhead_ribozyme from 1 species